ensembl:misc_RNA Metazoa_SRP Metazoan signal recognition particle RNA
GCCAGGCAUGGUGGUGCGUGCCUGUAAUCCCAGCUACUCAGGAGGCUGAGGCAAGAGAAUCACUUGAACCCAGGAAGCCAAGGUUGCAGUGAGCCAAGAUCGCACCACUGCACUCCAGCCUGGGCGACAGAGUGAGACUCUGUCUCAA